rnacentral:rRNA from 1 species
GAGGGAAAGGCGAAAAGAACCCCGGCGAGGGGAGUGAAAAAGAACCUGAAACCGUGUACGUACAAGCAGUAGGAGCCCCAUCACUCAAGUGCCUCGCACUGAGUGAUGCAAGAACAUCACCGAAAAUAGCGCCGAAUUUGCUAACAAGGUUGGUCGAUUUUUUCAAGCCGUCGCGCAGUGUACCUAGAAGUACACGAGCAACGGAAGUUAAAAAAUCGGGCAAGAUUGAACGCAAAGGCAAGCGGGACAUUUGAGGAUGGGGUGACUGCGUACCUUUUGUAUAAUGGGUCAGCGACUUAUAUUCUGUAGCAAGGUUAACCGUAUAGGGGAGCCGUAGGGAAACCGAGUCUUAACUGGGCGAAUGAGUUGCAGGGUAUAGACCCGAAACCCGGUGAUCUA